CGGCUGCAAUGAUCAGGGGCACCGGCACUCCAUCCUUCAUCUGGCCAGGGGAGACAUUCAGAGGUUGAGAGACUGAGAGGGCGUCCACUCUGGAGAUCCCGCGUUCUUGGUCUCAGCUCCUCAUCUUUCUAGGGGGAUAGAGUACCUCAGGACUUUCCGGCCCAGCGCUGUCCCGAGGUGACAACCCCACGAGGCCCAGAAGUCACUGCCUUGGGAAUCUGGCCAAGCGGACCUUACCUUAAACACGCAAUGGAGCCGCUAAAGGUUCUGGAGAAGGUGCAGUUCUGAAGCAUCAUGGGAAGAGUAAAGAAAAACAAAGCAAACGAAUCCCCCCAAACACAGUGGAAGGAUGGACUCAGAUUUCAUUCCCGCUCAUCUUUGGGAAAGUCAUUUCUCCACUUUGGACAUCUCAUUCCUUCCAGCUAAUGUCCCAUUUCUUGUCUCUAAAAAUCCCUGGCACAGCCCUACAUAGAGCUCUCGGUCUUACCUGUGGACCUUGCAGGAAGAUAUUCUGCACUCACCACCCUCCUUGGGUGACUUGGUCCUCCAUUGUGGGACAGUAAUGAAGGACAGGCUGGUGGGAUAGUGUGAGUAAGGUGCCAGCGGAGUGUCUCACACGUUAGGGCCUGGAUAGCUGGCUGCCGUUAUUAUUUUGUUUGCAUUGACUUCUGGACCCCACAAGAUUCCUGGUGGGGACUCAGGGGUCUAGGAGUCUCUGGGAUUGUGCUGGAAAUUUCUGUAGUGCAGACUCCUGGAAUUCCUGCAUAACCAGGGUAUUGCCUCAAGAAUAGCUGCACCUGCUUGUCGGCCACCAAAGCUCAGAUGAAUUCUCCAAGCAUCAGCCUGACCUCGGAGGAAAAUGACUUUUCUUUCACUUACUGGAGAAAAUAAACCAAUAAAACAUCAAAUUUCCA